GGAAGUAUAGCUCAGGGGGAGAGCAUGUGCUUAGCAUACACAAGGUCCUGGGUUCAAUCUCCAGUACCUCCU
rfam:Camelus ferus unplaced genomic scaffold scaffold258, whole genome shotgun sequence.